rnacentral:tRNA from 1 species
UAGAGUUUGGUGUACUUGNUAGCACGAAGAAUUUUGGGUUCUUAGGGGUAGGUUCGAUUCCUAUAGUUCUAG